rnacentral:ncRNA from 1 species
CCCCGUACCUGUACGGGGCGCAUAUUCUGCUUUAGUAACCAGGGGGUCUGCUCGUG